GAUGAACGCUGGCGGCGCGCCUAACACAUGCAAGUCGAACGAUUAAAGCACCUUCGGGUGUGUAUAAAGUGGCGAACGGCUGAGUAACACGUGGGCAACCUGCCCCUUUCAUUGGGAUAGCCACGGGAAACCGUGGAUAAUACCGAAUACUUCGAGACUUCCGCAUGGAAGACUCGAGAAAGCUCCGGCGGAGAGGGAUGGGCCCGCGGCCUGUUAGCUUGUUGGUGGGGUAACGGCCUACCAAGGCAAUGAUGGGUAGCUGGGUUGAGAGACCGACCAGCCAGAUUGGGACUGAGACACGGCCCAGACUCCUACGGGAGGCAGCAGUGGGGAAUCUUGCACAAUGGGCGAAAGCCUGAUGCAGCGACGCCGCGUGCGGGAUGAAGGCCUUCGGGUUGUAAACCGCUUUCAGCAGGGACGAGGCGAAAGUGACGGUACCUGCAGAAGAAGCCCUGGCUAACUACGUG
rnacentral:rRNA from 1 species